AGGUGAACCUGCGGAAGGAUCAUUAAUGAGUUUGCGCGGUUGUUGCUGGUUCUUACAAGUGCACACCGUGUCUUUCUUUAUCCACCCCACUGUGCAUCCCGGUACGCCUUUGCGCGUAGUCCUUUACAUCUAUACACCUUUUGUAAUGUAGAGAACGUGCCUUUGAAAUAACAAAAUACAACUAUCAACAACGGAUCUCUUGGCAUCCCGCUCGAUGAAGAACGCAGCGAAUUGCGAUAAGUAAUGUGAAUUGCAGAAUUCAGUGAAUCAUCGAAUCUUUGAACGCACCUUGCACCCUCUGGUAUUCCGGAGGGUAUGCCCGGUUGAGUAUUAUAAUCGACUCAAACCUCUGGUUUCUAAUUGCAAAGGUCGAAUGGCCGGCGAAGCYGUCUGUGGAGACGGUUGUAGCUGGAGUUUAACUUGGAAGUCGGAUGGUAUUGGACUUGAGCGUCUGUUGGUUUCACCAAGAGAUCAACUCGCUUGAAAUGCAUUAGCUGGCGACCUAACUGACGGUUCCACUCGACGUAGUAAGCUUAUUUCGUUGAGGACAUCUUUGCUUCAAAGUUGGCCGGCAGACUUUGGUAACGAGCCGCYUCUAAUUGUCUUAGGACAAGCGACCGAACGUUUAAUCUCAACUCGGGUAGGACUACCCGCUGAACUUAAGCAUAUCAA
rnacentral:rRNA from 1 species